rnacentral:rRNA from 1 species
CCUAAACUCAACAAACCACAUUAACAACCCCAAAUAACCCAAAGCUUAAUAAGCAAACCAUUUUUCCACCAAAGUAUGGGAGACAGAAAAGGACCCAGGAGCAAUAGAAUAAGUACCGUAAGGGAAAGCUGAAAGAGAAAUGAAAGAACCCAGUAAAGGACUAAUAAGCAGAGAUUUCCCCUCGUACCUUUUGCAUCAUGAUUUAGCGAGUAUUGAUGAGCGAAGGGCCCUUUAUGUUUACACCCCCGAAACUAGGCGAGCUACUCCAAGACAGCCUAUCAUAGGGCAAACCCGUCUCUGUGGCAAAAGAGUGGGAAGAGCUUUGAGUAGAGGUGACAGACCUACCGAGCCUAGUUAUAGCUGGUUGCCUAAGAAUUGAAUAGAAGUUCAGCCUUUUAGACUCUUUAACCACCCAGGGCACCGCCCCCUUCAGGAUAAAAGACGACUAAAAGAGUUAUUCAAAGAGGGGACAGCCCCCUUGAAAAGAGACACAACUUUAGGAGAAGGUAAAAGAUCAAAAUAAUUAAAGGAAAAUACCUAGGUGGGCCUAAAAGCAGCCACCCUUGCAGAUAGCGUUAAAGCUCAAGUAUAAGAAUCCUAAAAUCCCGACAAAAUUAUCUAAUACCCCUUGAUUUAUUAGGCCAACCUAUGUAGUCAUAGGUAAGACAAUGCUAGAAUGAGUAAUAAGAGAGUAAGACUCUCUCAAGAGCACAAGUGUAAAUCAGAACGAACCCGCACUGAAAAUUAACGCCCCCAAACAAAGAGGGAAAAGAGCCACAACCUACAAAACAAGAAGACCUCUCAAGCCAAAAGCGUUAACCCCACACAGGAGUGCCCCCUGAAAGACAAAAAGAAAAAGAAGGAACUCGGCAAACAAUGGCCUCGCCUGUUUACCAAAAACAUCGCCUCUUGCUAUUUUAAUAUAAGAGGUCCCGCCUGCCCUGUGACUAAUAGUUUAACGGCCGCGGUAUUUUGACCGUGCGAAGGUAGCGUAAUCACUUGUCUUUUAAAUAGAGACCUGUAUGAAUGGCACAACGAGGGCUAAGCUGUCUCCUUUUUCUAGUCAAUGAAAUUGAUCUGCCCGUGCAGAAGCGGGCAUGAACCCAUAAGACGAGAAGACCCUAUGGAGCUUAAGGCACUAUUACAGACCACGUCAAGACACCCCCAUAAAGGGGAACAAACCAAAUGGCCCCUGAAUUACUGCCUUUGGUUGGGGCGACCGCGGAGUAGCAAAAAACCUCCACGUGGAAUGAGUUAAGUCUCCUAAUGCAAGAGCCACAGCUCUAACAAGCAGAAAAUCUGACCACAAAGAUCCGGCAAAGCCGAUCAACGGACCCAGUUACCCUAGGGAUAACAGCGCAAUCCCCUUCUAGAGCCCAUAUCGACAAGGGGGUUUACGACCUCGAUGUUGGAUCAGGACCUCCUAAUGGUGCAGCCGCUAUUAAGGGUUCGUUUGUUCAACGAUUAAAGUCCUACGUGAUCUGAGUUCAGACCGGAGAAAUCCAGGUCAGUUUCUAUCUAUGUAGUGCCCCUUUCCUAGUACGAAAGGACCGGAAAGGGGGGGCCCCUGCUCCCGGUAUGCCCCACCCCCACCUAAUGACCCCCAAUAAAGGAGGCAAGGGGGGACUCACUGAAACCUGAGAAAAAGGCAA